ensembl:lncRNA
UAUAAAGUGGAAUUGUAAAGCGCUUUGAUUGUGUUAAAAAGCGCUAUAUGAAUGCAAUCCAUUAUUAUUUAAACCAACUGUUAACUGUAUAUUUCUGUACAUUUAAGUAUUAUUAUUCAUAUUGCUGCAUUCAUGGACCUUGUUUAUAGGUAAUUUCAUUGUUUAAUCACAUUAAAAUAUUCCUAAUGUAAUGUUCUCAUGUAAAAUUAGGGCAACAAACUGUAUUGUCAUUACUGAAAAUAACCGUAUUUUCAUGUGCAAGUUAUUUUCUGUUAUUUUAUGCUAUUAUUUUGGCGCCCCAGCUGCCGGAAUGUUACUUUUUUUUACUUUUUUUUAGGAUUUUUUUUUUUACGCUGUAUAUUAAGGUCUUAGUGGGUGAUGACAGUGUAUCAAACAACAUUACAUUUAAAAGCAUUCGAAACACAGACACACACACACAGUGGAUAACUGUCUGUGGAGUUUGUCGCCAGCCUUCUGAAAGGGGCACAUUGAGGUGUUGCACCAGUGAUUUGGAAGUGAAAGACUACAUUCCUGACUUUAGAAGUGUUCUGAGUGGCAGCAUCAAUGGGCAGGUGUGUGUUUGACGACACUUGGUGCAGACAGAAGGCAUUAGGCUUGCAUGAAGGGAGCAACAAAGAGGGAGUAACACAGAAGGAAUGUAGACAGGGACAAAGAAAGAACCCAAAGAUAUAGGAGAGGUGGAGGAAGAUCUCAGAAUGGGCGUCUAUUGUCUUGUGUAGUCUGGAAGUGUAGUGGAUGAUGGGGUAGGUGCAGUUUUCUCUGUGGUGGGGUCGGGUGGGCUGUCCCGGGCUCUGUGGGGCCAGGCGGCGCUGCUGAACUGGGCCCUGGUCCAGAUGGGCCUGGGCCCCCUUUCCCUGGCGUUGCCUACGGGGGUGCCUACUGGGGUCAGCUGGCGAGCUGGCCCCAGGGAGGGGUCAUCUCAGGUCCUCCAAGGUAUGGAGGCCUAUCUCCCCCCACGACUUCCCCUACCAGUGGCAGAUGCCCUCAGAC